rnacentral:sRNA from 1 species
AGAUUUCGUCAAAGCCGACCUCCUCCCCGGCAAUGACGAAUAGGUCCAACCUUCACCUCCUCCCGAGGGUUGGCCAACCAAACGGCGCCCGCCGCACCUCCUCCCGCGGCGGGCGUUGUUU